UACGGAGGGUGCAAGCGUUAUCCGGAUUCACUGGGUUUAAAGGGUGCGUAGGCAGGUAGGUAAGUCCGUGGUGAAAUCUCUGAGCUUAACUCAGAAACUGCCGUGGAUACUAUUUGCCUUGAAUAUUGUGGAGGUGAGCGGAAUAUGUCAUGUAGCGGUGAAAUGCUUAGAUAUGACAUAGAACACCAAUUGCGAAGGCAGCUCACUACACAAUGAUUGACGCUGAGGCACGAAAGCGUGGGGAUCAAACAGG
rnacentral:rRNA from 1 species